rnacentral:lncRNA from 1 species
AUGUCACCUGACCUCUGCUCUGUUUACAUAUAGCUGCUUGUGACAUCAUCUGGGCAUGUAUGGUAUCUGUAUCUACGUCAAGACCUGGGCUUUGCUCCACUUGGAGUCAGCUGAUUGACAGGAGGGCAUCUGAAAUUGAGAGGAGAUUUCAGGACGUUUACCCAGCCCUUUAGUGGGGAUCUGUCCGGGACUGUGCAGUCUGAACCUGCAACUGUAAAAGUGCUGUUUGGACUGUGGACAAGUUAGGUUAUAAAUUUUGACCUCUGAAUGGACGCAACCAAUAUUAGCCUUUAAUGCAGUUAGACUCAUUUUGUCAGAGGUCUGGAAAAUUAGGAAAAACUACCAUAUGUCCAAGCCUUCAUGCUUUUCGAAAAUCAGGAUUCAUACCAUGAGGGAAGAUGCCAGCUGCUAGCUAUACCAAAGGACAGAAUGGAAAAAAGGCUCUUCACAAGCCAGAGAGCCAAACUCAGGCAGAAAGCAAUGAAGUCUCAGGAUGUAACCUUGAAGCAAACUGCAGAAACCAUUGCCUCAGUCUUCAAGUAGAACCUUGAAAUAUACUUUGGAACCACACCCCAUUCAGUUUCCCACUGUACAUGUCCAUGCCUUAUACACAUUUAUCUAACUGUAUGCUGGCGAAACUCACACAAUGCAUAAUUAUCUAACUAUAUGCCUGUCAAAAAAUACCAGAGGCUAAUUUAAAAUGAAUCAAACAUACAGGCCCAGCUGUGGUAUUGUCUCUCUCUUAAAGAUUGCCUCUGGAUGGAUACCUAUGGUCUGGCACUAUCAAGAUGGUAUCAGUCUGUGGCUCCAGGUGGACCAUAACUCAAGAUACACAUGGGAGUAAGACACAGACUCCCUGAAUCUGCACACCUCCUGCAUGCCUCCCAUGUUAUGCAUUAUGCUUCCCUUUCUUUAAAAACCUGCCCUCAGUCCAACCUUGUGAACUGGUUUAUACAGGUGUCAUCCAGCCAUUUCCCUACUGCUGGAUUUGAAAAAUAAAGUCACUUUCGGCAUGGUCCCUGGAAACAACCCUGGUGCUGUCCAGCAGCGUGUUGAACAGGAAGUUGUGUGUGGGAAUACAAGGUUCCAUAAAAUUCCUGAUGGAGAACGUGGAGUGAAAAGAAAUUAUCACAGAAUUCCAGCAACUCUUGGACCACUGACUCUAAAACGCACAGAAAAAUGCAAUUGAUCCAGAACAGCCCAAGGAAUGUUAAAUAUUUUUUACAGAAACACAAAUGACAUUUAUAGAAGUAUGUAUGUGCUGUGCAUAGUGAUGUUUUUUCCAAAAGGUACAACAUGAGAAGGGGAAUAAUAUUAAUUUUAUAGUGGAGAAAACUGAGCUAAACUGCCUCAUCCGUGUGAUCAAAUAACAUUAACCAUGAUAAAGCAGCUGGGCACAGUGGCUCACACCUGUAAUUCCAGCACUUGG